rnacentral:lncRNA from 1 species
GCCUGGCUCCUGCCAUGCACCCAAGGUAGACAGGACCCCGGGGGGGGGGGGGGUCUUAUUUCCUGGUCCCCAGGGGCAAGACCGCGGUGGGCACCCAGCUCUUACCGCCUCCGAUUUGGGUGGCACGGGGGGUGGGGUGUCCCCAAGGGGGUCAUCCCUGGGGGCACUGGGGCGGCGCGGAGAGCCCAGCGGGGACGCAGCCCCGAAGGAGAUGAGGUCCUGCCGCCCCUUGUUGGUGCAGCCCAGCCCCAGUGGGUUGCUGCUGGGCUCCAAGUAGCUCUCCAGGCUCUGGUUGCUCCAAAGCUCCUCGUAGGGGAUCUCCAGCUGCUCCUGAGUCCUGAAUUCGGGCUCGGCCCAGUCGGGCGUCAUGUACUCCCUGUCGGGGUCGGAGAAGUCAGGCAGCACCGGGUGCUCGUGCUGGGCGCUCCCACCUGCGCCCAGCGGGUCCUGGCACCGGGCGGCCACGUCCUCGGGYGCGUGGGCCAGCGCCCCGCGGUAGACGCAGAGCGAGAGGCGCUGCAAGGGCUGGCUGAGCUCCUCGCGGGCGUAGCCCUGCAGGCAGAGCCGGAUGCGCCGGGGGCUGGCGCACUCCUCGGAGAAGUCGGGCUUGGCCUCCCGCACGGCCUUGGAGUACUCAUCAGGGUUGAAGCGCUCGUGGCAGUACGCGGCGCUGUCCCGCAGCAGCUUCUCCAGCUGGGGGUCCCCGCAGAGCAGCCCCUCGGGCAGCUGGAAGCGGGGCAUGUCGGUGAGCAGCAGGAAGUGGAAGGGCACCAGCUCGUCCUUGCGGAGGAUGCAGCACAGCACCACCGUCUUGGAGAUGAUGCUGACCAGCUUGUAGCAGUGGCCCUCGCGGAUGGCGUGCAGGUCGUAGGGGUUGCGCGCGGGGCGGCUGGGCACGGCCACGUUGACGGGCAGCCGCACCUUCUCGAUGAUGCUGCGGAUGGUGUGCUCRCCCUCCUGGAGGCGCAGCUCCAGCGGGCUGCGGGUGCUGAAGCGCCCCUUGCACUGGAAGGGCAAGCUGAGGCUCUCGUUGGUGCGGUGGUUCAUGCAGAUCAGGCAGGGCAUCUUGCCCUUCACCUGCUUGCCCCCGGCGGCCGGCGCCGCCUUGCCCAGCUUCCGCAGGAUGGUGUUGAAGCGCGACUUCUCCUUCACCGUCUUGGCGCAGAGGAUCUCCGCUUGGCCCAUCAGCGUCAGCUCGUCCCCCGCGUGCAGCGUGAAGUUGUACACCUCGCUGUCCUCGCUGAACUCCCCCGACACCACCUGCCCCGGGACAGCCAGUGGCUGAGCAGGGCACCUGGCACGGGGCCAGCGCCAGGCGGCAGCCCCAGGACCUGCCACCCCUGA